rnacentral:lncRNA from 9 species
CUUUUUUCACCUAUAAAAUAAGAAUAUUAAACAAUUUUAUUGUCUUUUUUUUUUUUCCUGGAAAUCUUGAGAUUAUUGCCUCAGAGAGAUGUUGACACAGAAAUCCUGGAGCAGAGUGUGGAGAGGGUACUGUUCCCAUUCCCUGUCCAUCGGGAGCAGAGGGGAGUUCUGCGUUGCCUGGGCCACAAGAGCAUUUGUCCAGACUUGUACCUCGAUGAGGUCAUGAUUUCACUCUUGGGAUCACAUAUUGGAAAAUUGAAGUUACUUUUUAAAAGUAUUGAAUGCCUGGCUCAAAAGCAAAAAUAGGAGAAGAUAUAGCAAGUAGCAAGAACUUUGAGUCUUUAAGUAGAUAGCUCCCUUCUUAUCUACUUUCAGAGCAAGAGCCUGAAACAGGUACCAAGUGAAACUACACAGCACAAUGGAAUAUACCACCCAACAUUUUUCUGAUCUUUGCUACCUUUUAUUUAUUGAUAAGACACAGAAGAGAGCAGCAUUUUCUGAAGUACAAGAUGGGUACUCUUGAAUAACUUUGUUUCAUGCAGCCUUAUAUCAGAUUUAAUUACCUAAAGAUUUUCUCUUUUUGAAUCUCUUUCAAUUAAUCACACAAAAGAGGGAGUGGUUUCUCAGGGCUACCUGAGAUGCUGUCUCCAGGGCUUAAGUCUUAAUUUAACCCCCAAAAAACUUAAUUAUUAG